AACGAACGCUGGCGGCAGGCUUAACACAUGCAAGUCGAACGCAUCGCAAGAUGAGUGGCAGACGGGUGAGUAACGCGUGGGAACAUACCCUUUUCUACGGAAUAGCUCUGGGAAACUGGAAUUAAUACCGUAUACGCCCUACCGGGGAAAGAUUUAUCGGGGAAGGAUUGGCCCGCGUUGGAUUAGCUAGUUGGUGGGGUAAAGGCCUACCAAGGCGACGAUCCAUAGCUGGUCUGAGAGGAUGAUCAGCCACAUUGGGACUGAGACACGGCCCAAACUCCUACGGGAGGCAGCAGUGGGGAAUAUUGGACAAUGGGCGCAAGCCUGAUCCAGCCAUGCCGCGUGAGUGAUGAAGGCCUUAGGGUUGUAAAGCUCUUUCACCGAUGGAGAUAAUGACGGUAGUCGGAGAAGAAGCCCCGGCUAACUUCGUGCCAGCCGCCACAGUAAAAC
rnacentral:rRNA from 1 species